AACACAUGAUAUCUAAAUAAUAGCACCAUAGUAUACUUCACUAGCUUUUUAAUUAUUUUUUAAAUAUACAGGAAGGUAAUAAGUAACAAAGUAAUAAUAGUGAAUAGUUUAAGCUCAGCAUAAUCGGACAAACUUUCAUUUGAUAAAAGCGAUAAUUAGUUUUCAGUGGCUUUUUUGUCUACCAAAAGGAGGUGCUUUUUAAAUACGUGCAUCCAAGAUAAAAUAUAAAAAAAUGUUCAGGUUUGCUUUUCUACAUAGAUAAAAUAAUAUGUAACUAGCUCUCCCAGAUUUCAGCAACAGUCAGUGAAUGUUUAGCCACAAAUUUGCAGUUAAUUGUAUAAUCAGUUCUUACGAUUUUAUGAACAAGUUCUAUAUUCUUUGUGCCUUAUACCUAGUUGUAAGCAGUCAUUCCACAAUUAUUUUCCUGAAGUGGCUUGGUUAAUGCAACACCAGAAACAGGUCACAGACAAUAGUGCUGUAAGAAAUGUGGGAGGAAAGAGGCACAUGGGAAGUAGCUAGCUCGUGCUGGAGGAACUGGAAAAAAACCUCACAUGGGAGAUGACAGUUGAGCUGAAUUCUUAACUAGAGUUGUAACAGGGAGAGGCCCUUACAUGCAGACCACCUGUAUGGAUUAAGAUAAGACAUAAAGUAAUCUUUUAAAAGAACUAUUAUUUAGAAACCUGGUAUAUGGUGCUGUGUUAUACUGGGUUUGAGAAAGAAUAGGAAGUGUUACAAGGAUUCAGUGGUUGGAAAUUAAGGAAGAUAGAAGGUUAGUGUUGGAUCUGUUUUGGCUCUUUGGUCAUGCUUUUGUUUUUCUCAAAAUGAAUGCAGUGCCUGUCCCAGAAAAUACCAUAUGAGAAGCGAUUUCAUAAUGCUGUGAGAGUCUGUUACAGGGACUUGAUCAAGUCUGAGGGCCAUCAGAGAAAGUCCCUCUGAGGAAGUUGCUUUCAAGCUGACACCUGAUGGAUGAGGCAGAAUUAUCCCAGCUGGGAUUUGGGAACUGGUGUUUGAGGCUGAGGACUAGCAUGCAUGACAGGAAAACAACCCAGAGUGACAGAAAUGGGAGUGGUAUGAGAUGGCAUCAGAGACGCAGAUGCAAGGUCAAAUCAUUCAGAGCCUCCUAGACCAUGUGAACACAUGUAUUAUGCUGUGGAGAUACUGUUUAAUAGGCAGUCUGCUUUUUUUUAUGCAGUACCAAAUAUGCCCCAACAGCGGCAAGACCAGCAUCAUCAGAGUGCCAUGAUGCACCCAGCGUCAGCAGCGGGCCCACCGAUUGCAGCCACCCCACCAGCUUACUCCACGCAAUAUGUUGCCUACAGUCCUCAGCAGUUCCCAAAUCAGCCCCUUGUUCAGCAUGUGCCACAUUAUCAGUCUCAGCAUCCUCAUGUCUAUAGUCCUGUAAUACAGGGUAAUGCUAGAAUGAUGGCACCACCAACACAUGCCCAGCCUGGUUUAGUAUCUUCUUCAGCAACUCAGUACGGGGCUCAUGAGCAGACGCAUGCGAUGUAUGUUUCCACGGGCUCCCUUGCUCAGCAGUAUGCGCACCCUAAUGCUACCCUGCACCCACAUACUCCACACCCUCAGCCUUCAGCUACCCCCACUGGACAGCAGCAAAGCCAACAUGGUGGAAGUCAUCCUGCACCCAGUCCUGUUCAGCACCAUCAGCACCAGGCUGCCCAGGCUCUCCAUCUG
rnacentral:sRNA from 1 species